rnacentral:rRNA from 1 species
UACAGAGGGUGCUAGCGUUAAUCGGAAUUACUGGGCGUAAAGGGUGCGUAGACGGUAUAAUAAGUCAACUGUUUAAUUUUCUAGCCUAACUGGAAAUAUGCGGUAGAAACUAUUGUACUAGAGGAUGGAAGAGAGAAGUGGAAUUCUCGGAGUAGCGGUAAAAUGCGUAGAUCUCGAGAGGAACACCGAUGGCGAAAGCAGCUUCUUGGUCCAUAUCUGACGUUGAGGCACGAAAGCGUGGGGAGCGAACAGG